ensembl:antisense Gm35986 predicted gene, 35986
AUCACGCUUUUUACUCGUCUACAGGGAAAUCUCCUCCCCCUCGUGCGAUCGGGAAAAUUAACCCUUUGCGCGAGAGGGCGCAGAAGAGCAAGACCUCCCAUCGCCCUGGGGGAUAGUUUUGUUUACAAGAAGCCAACUAAAAUGAGGCGAGGGCAUUUCAUGCAGUCAGAUCAUCUCAGGAAGACAUUGGAGGCUGAGGUAGGAAGACUGGUGCUAGUAAAAUUGACAGAAAUUUGAGGACAAGGCUUCCAAGUUCAACAGUCCUGACUGUCCCGGAACUCACUUUGUAGACCAGUCUGGUCUUGAACUCAAAGCAAUACACCUACCUCUGCUUCCCAAGUGCCAGGAUUAAAGAAGUGGCCCCCACCUCCAGGUUAGAAUGAUUAUUUUCUUUCUGGACUUUUAUAAGGGUAGGAAAGAUG